rnacentral:rRNA from 1 species
AUAAUAAUUAGUCUUUUAAUUGAAGGCUGGUAUGAAGGAUUGAACGAGAUAAAUACUGUCUCAUUAAAAUUAUUAUUUAAUUUAAUUUUUAAGUUAAAAAGCUUAAAUAUUAUUAUAGGACGAGAAGACCCCAUAGAGUUUUAUAAUUUAUUUUUUAUUUUUUAUAAAUUUACAUUAAAUAAAAUUAAAUUAUUUUAUUGGGGCGAUAGGAAAAUUUAAUAAACUUUUUUAAUUUAAAAAACAAAUAUUUUUGGAAAUUUGAUCCUAAAUUUUAGAUUAUUAGAUUAAGUUACCUUGGGGAUAACAGCGUUAUUUUUUUUAUAAGUUCAUAUUAAUAGAAAAGAUUGC